GUGGCAGACGGGUGAGUAACGCGUGGGAACGUGCCUUUUGGUUCGGGACAACUCAGGGAAACUUGAGCUAAUACCGGAUAAGCCCUCCGGGGGAAAGAUUUAUCGCCAAAAGAGCGGCCCGCGUCAGAUUAGCUAGUUGGUGGGGUAAUGGCCUACCAAGGCGACGAUCUGUAGGUGGUCUGAGGGGAUGAUCACCCACAUUGGGACUGAGACACGGCCCAAACUCC
rnacentral:rRNA from 1 species